rnacentral:misc_RNA from 1 species
CAAAAAAUAAAAAAAAAAUAGAACCCUCUUUGAUUCAUUUUGACUUCCUUUCAAUUUCAAUGAAGAUUCUUUCUCUCUAGAAAUCUCUCUCUCUGUUUCUCUUGAUUGAAGUUGCUGNNNNAAAAAAGAGAUAAGAGGGAAUGGGUUGUGCUGGAUCCUCACAGGCUAAAGCAGAUGGGGCUGUGAAGAAGAUUCGGAAGCCAAAACCUUGGAAGCAUCCUCAGCCUAUAACAAAGUCUCAGCUUAUACAGUUGCGUGAUGAGUUUUGGGAUACUGCUCCUCACUAUGGUGGAAGGAAAGAGAUUUGGGAUGCCCUUCGAGCUGCUGCUGAAGCUGACCUAACCCUUGCGCNNNNNNNNNNNGACAGUGCUGGUGUAAUUGUUCAAAAUGCUGAUUUGACAAUAUGCUAUGAUGAAAGAGGUGCGAAAUAUGAACUGCCCAAGUAUGUUUUGAGCGAGC